rnacentral:rRNA from 1 species
CGUGCCUACGGGGGGCAGCAGUGGGGAAUAUUGGACAAUGGGGGGAACCCUGAUCCAGCGACGCCGCGUGAGUGAAGAAGUAUUUCCGUAUGUAAAGCUCCCUCAGCAGAGAAGAAAGAAAUGACGGUACCUGACUAAGAAGCCCCGGCUAACUACGUGCCAGCAGCCGCGGUAAUACGUAGGGGGCAAGCGUUAUCCGAAUUUACUGGGUGUAAAGGGAGCGUAGACGGCGAUGCAAGUCUGAAGUGAAAGGCGGGGGCCCAACCCCCGGACUGCUUUGGAAACUGUAUGGCUGGAG